CAGUAGCCGCGGGAAUACGGAGGGUGCAAGCGUUAUCCGGAUUCACUGGGUUUAAAGGGUGCGUAGGCGGAUCUGUAAGUCAGUGGUGAAAUCUCCAGGCUUAACCUUGAAACUGCCGUUGAUACUAUAGGUCUUGAAUUUUGUGGAGGUUAGCGGAAUAUGUCAUGUAGCGGUGAGAUGCAUAGAUAUGACAUAGAACACCAAUUGCGAAGGCAGCUGGCUACACAACUAUUGACGCUGAGGCACGAAAGCGUGGGGAUCAAACAGGAUUAGAUACCCCCGUAGUCCCUGUCUCUUAUAC
rnacentral:rRNA from 1 species